rnacentral:rRNA from 1 species
AUGGGGGGAUGCCAGGACGCUGCCAAUAUGCUCAAGCCAGCGUUGGCCCGUGGUCGUAUCCGUUGUGUGGGUGCGACGACUUUUGAUGAUUACCGUAAGUACAUUGAGAAGGAUGCCGCACUCGAGCGGCGGUUCCAGAAGGUGCACGUUGAGGAGCCUAGCGCGCAGGCCACCAUUGCCAUGCUGCGGGCGCUAAAGCAGCAGUAUGAACAGCACCACGGCUUAGAAAUCCAAGAUGCCGCUCUUGUUGCUGCCGUGCAGCUCGCUGGCCGUUACAUCACGGGUCGUCCAUUUCCUGAUAAGGCAAUUGACCUCAUUGAUGAGGCUGGUGCCACAGCAGCCAAAACAAUGAUGCCAGUUGGUGAUCAAGAAGAGAAUGUGAUCACUCUGCAGAGUAGCUCUAAAAAUGCAGUGAAGGAGGCAAUUGUUUGCCCUAAUCAUGUCGCACAAGUUGUGAGCCAAUGGACUGGAAUUCCUGUCACUGCGCUUGACCAAGAGGAGAAGGACAGACUAAUCCACCUAGCGAGCAGACUGCGGGAGCGAGUUGUUGGCCAGGAUGAAGCUGUAAAUCUGGUUGCACAAGCAGUGUUACGUUCCAGAGCCGGCUUUGAUCAGCCUGGCCAACCCAUAGGCUCUUUUCUCUUCUUAGGCUCGACUGGUGUUGGAAAGACAGAGCUUGCAAAAGCUCUUGCUGUGCAGUUAUUUGACAGCGAGAAGAUGUUAGUUCGCUUUGACAUGUCUGAAUAUGUUGACAGGGGAUCCGUGCUGCGUCUCAUCGGAGCACCUCCAAGCUAUAAAGGCCAUGAAGACGGUGGACAAUUGACGGAGAAAAUCAGGAGACAUCCAUACAGUGUUAUCCUUUUUGAUGAGGUGGAGAAGGCAGAUCCAUCGGUGUUGAACCUUUUUAUUCAACUUCUGGAUGAUGGUGUGUUGAUAGAUGGGAAAGGCCGGACCGUAAAUUUCAAGAACACCAUCAUCAUUAUGACUUCAAAUCUAGGAGCGGAGCACCUAACAGCAGGAAUGGCUGGAAAAAUCACAAUGGAAGCUGCACGGGACCUUGUGAUGCAACAGGUUCAGAAACACUUCAAACCCGAGCUUCGCAACAGAAUGAGUGAGAUUGUGAUAUUUGAGCCGCUGUCGCACGACAAUCUUAAGGAGAUUGUGAAAAUCCAGAUGAAGAGCAUUGUCGCCAGCAUAGCUAGCAGGGGCAUCUCUCUAUGUGCGAGUGAUGCCGCGCUGGACGUGGUUUUGUCAGAAUCUUACAACCCAAUGUAUGGCGCAAGGUCUGUAAAGAGGUGGUUGCUGAAGAAUGUGAUGACUGAUCUCUCCGAGAUGCUGGUCAGCGGACGAAUCUGUGAAGGCUCCUCGGUCUCCAUUGACGCUGCCAAUGACAAGGGUCUUAAGUUUGAAGUAGUGACGUAG